CUCUGGGCCGCAGUGCCCAGGGGUGCAGGGGAUAUGGUAACUGGGAAACAUGGCCCCGAGCCCAGUUACUGCCCCUGUUAGUUAGGUAGUGAGGAUUCAGUAGUUUGCAAGACUUUGCCUGACACGGUGCCCGGGCGUGGUCUGGGCAGUGUCUUCGCAACAUCAACGAAGGCAUCUGGGGUUUUUCCUGUCGGUCAGCGGGUGACUCCUUCAUCCGUCGUCCCUCCGUCCCUGUGGCCAUCUUUUGUCGCGUGCCUACGCUGUGGACGUCAGGCUGGGGACACACAGGACCGACUGGACAAGUGGCAGAAGAGGGACUCGGACACAUGGUUCCUGAGAGAAGGUGGAUGUCAUUCUUAUCUUCGCCCCUCUACAGGGUCCCCCCCACCAUGGUGUCCGCCAUGACUGGGUCCCCUGGAGGAGUUUGGAGUUGCCCACACUGAGCCUCCAGGGAUUCAUCAGCUACAGUUCAGGUUUCCCUGCCCUGGAACAAGCUCCUGAGGUGAUUUCCACGGAUGCAUUUCUGCUCUGGCAAACCAUGGCCCCUGUCAUUGAUAGGCCAGCGC